GAGCACAAUCAUCAACAGACUAACGAUUGGCUUUGGGAUACUAUUCCCAAUAGUUAGCACAUUGUAUUAACCCAAGUUCCUAAUUUGGUUUGGUUCAAAGUGUUUGAGCCUACCUAGACCAAUUGCCUUUGACAUAAUGGAAUUGGGUCAAUCUAAGUUAGAUCCUUAUCCAACUUGAACCAAUUUUAAGUGGAGAAAGACUCCUCAACGCCC
rnacentral:lncRNA from 1 species